rnacentral:piRNA from 1 species
UCUCCAUAUCCCAGGAUUUGAACUGGAUGU